rnacentral:rRNA from 1 species
GAUCAUGGCUCAGGAUGAACGCUGGCGGCGUGCUUAACACAUGCAAGUCGAGCGAAGCACUUAAGUUUGAUUCUUCGGAUGAAGACUUUUGUGACUGAGCGGCGGACGGGUGAGUAACGCGUGGGUAACCUGCCUCAUACAGGGGGAUAACAGUUAGAAAUGACUGCUAAUACCGCAUAAGCGCACGGUACCACAUGGUACGGUGUGAAAAACUCCGGUGGUAUGAGAUGGACCCGCG